rnacentral:rRNA from 1 species
GGGGGAAUAUUGCACAAUGGGGGAAACCCUGAUGCAGCGACGCCGCGUGGAGGAUGACGGCCUUCGGGUUGUAAACUCCUUUUGUCGGGGACAAUGGUGAUGGUACCCGACGAAUAAGCCACGGCUAACUCUGUGCCAGCAGCCGCGGUAAUACGUAGGGUGCAAGCGUUAUCCGGAAUUAUUGGGCGUAAAGAGCUCGUAGGCGGUUUGUCGCGUCUGCCGUGAAAGUCCGGGGCUCAACCCCGGAUCUGCGGUGGGUACGGGCAGACUAGAGUGAUGUAGGGGAGACUGGAAUUCCUGGUGUAGCGGUGAAAUGCGCAGAUAUCAGGAGGAACACCGAUGGCGAAGGCAGGUCUCUGGGCAUUAACUGACGCUGAGGAGCGAAAGCAUGGGGAGCGAA